UCCCCCAUCGCUUAAUUCCAAAAUGAAAUACUAAAUACUGCAGUUGUAAAUAAAUAAGUAAAUAAUAUUUGUGGUAAACUCAGGACAAACAGCUACAAAAGGGGGGUAGUAAUUAGUCCCAGGGAAUUGAAAAGCCCCUCCCUAUCCACUGAGGAGAGAGAACCAAGGGGCAAUAAGGUUCCGCUGGAAAAGGGGUUGCUAGGGAACCAAUUAGGUUCAGCUGACUCCAACUACUUGGGACCUUUUCAAACCCUUCUCUGGGUGGUAGGAGGGGGAGAGUGAGGGGAGCAGGGAAGUUGCCAGUAGGCUGUUUGCAGCAAGACACCAGACCUUCCCAGUAGGGAGGCUGCACUCGCUCCCCGGAAGGAAAGGAAAACAAGCACAAGGGACUGACUGAGGAGAGGAGUAGCAGGAGCCUGUGCCACCUAUAAGGAUUUGCCUUGCCCCAAACCUGAGUCUCCAAGGCUAAAAAGGACUGAGCCUACUGAGGCGAACAAGUCGACAGAGCUGAGUAUUUGAAGGCAAGAUGUUUCCAGAAGGCUUCCAACUAUGGAAUUUUCUCCCAUCAUUCACCGAAGAACAUCUGAAGGCUGGAACCUUCCACGCAUCGUGUAAACUUCCAUUUAUUGAAGCUUCUGUCUGAUGAGGUGAUGGAGUCUACAUAUGCUUCCAGUUUGAUCUUGAGGGGGAAUGUAUUUGAAGUUUGUCUACUUAAUGUAUUGAAUAAUUCCUGGGUGCAACUGUAUUCUGAGAAGGAUGUGCUGGGCAUACUUUUAGUCAGAUUUCAAAAGAUGACAACUACCAGCAGUUUAUUAAAUCAAUGGAAUUAGAUGGUCAUAAUCA